rnacentral:tRNA from 1 species
CGUUCUGUUGCCGAAUUGGUAAAGGCAUCGCCGAUCACAGGCGAGGGUGCGGGUUCGAGUCCCGCUGGAAGGA